rnacentral:tRNA from 1 species
GGAGAGAUGACCGAGUGGUUGAAGGUAGCAGUCUUGAAAACUGCCGUGCCGGCAACGGUACCGUGGGUUCGAAUCCCACUCUCUCCGCCA